CCGCGGCCCGCUGUUGCGUCCCGACGUGCCCCUGCGUGCCGCUCUCUGCCGAGGCUGGACGCGGCUGCGGCUCCUGAAGCCAGUGAAGGAGAAACAGCAGCUGAGAUUAAACAACAUUCAGCAAAACCUCAUCAAAUGCUUUCAGAGGUCUCUGAAAAAAAGUAUUGUUGUGCUUAAAAAUUGAAUAUUAUCUGCUACUCAACUUUAUUUUCAUUUGGAACCUGACUGUCCCAUUCUCCCCAUUUUCAUUUAAGAAUGAAAAUGACACGUUGCAUUAAAGAUACUGCUAUCUUUCUAUAAGUGGUUACUCUAAAAAUACAACAGUUCUUAUGUGCACAUUGCUGUGAUUGCGGUAUUUGGCCAGGGAUGAAAACAAUCAUCUGAUUACUUGCAUACUUAUAGUGAUAUGCAGAAGUCUGAUGGAUUAAAGGAUUUUCUGAGGCCAAAACUAAUAUCCGUAUUCUCUCAUUCUUUGUUUUUAAAUUAACUUUUGGGUUUUUGUUUUGUUUUUUAAAGCAUCUGAGGAGAGAAACUGUCAAUGGCUUUAGAAAGAUUUUCCUCAAAAAACAUUUGAAUGCAUACUUUCUAAUUGUCAACCAAUCUCAUCUAGAGAAAAAAUCUGAAAAGAUUUUAUAGGAUUUAAAAGGUCUGCCUGUUUUAGGCAGAUUCUUACUAUGAUGGAAGCAAAUAAGGAAAAGAAUGAUGAUAUUCCCAUUUCUACAACAGUCUUUGCUCUUACUGUGUUUGUUUAUACCAAUUCCAACCUUAGUACAUUGAAUUAAGGUUAGGCAACCUUAAAACAGAGAAUGUAAGGUCUCUGUCAUAGUUUACAGAAAAAUGUAUAUGAAAAUGAGGUAUUUCUCUUUGGUACAGAACAUGGAUGUCAAGCAUUUGAAAAAUAAGAAUUGUAAUUAAAAUUCAUAUACAUCUUCUUUUUUUUAGAGUAUCUUCUCUCAGCAUUGACAUACUGACAGCCUAAGACACUUAUCUGCAAUGUUCCUUUGGACUCUUUCCAGUAAUGCAUAGAGCACUGUCACCAUCUGGGGAAAUACUCACCGGUGUUUCAAUGUGGCAUUGCUGUUGCUUUUCACUUGGGAUUACUAAAAAGCUCCUACAGCUGAUCUAUAAGGGCUAAAAUUGAGACAUUCUGGAUACUGGGGUUAUUUUUUCAAUCCACUUAAGGAGGGUGAUUUGUAGCAACAGUGCAUAUGGCCCUAAUUAAUGAGAUUUGAGUAGACUUUGGCGUAGCAUCCUGUCUAAAGAAGAAGAAAAGAGGUUACAAGAGAUUUGCUAUGUUCCUUAUCGCUGCUUCAUAUGAAACGUUAUACGUACUCCUGAAGUUUUUAUUUUGAAUCAUUUCUACAAUAAUUUUAUCAGGUGCAUAGGAUAUUCAAGCAACUUUUGAAAAUUCCUUAUGUUCUGCAUUAUAAAGUCUGUUAUCCAUACUUGGUGCAGACUACAAAUUUGACCCUAAUUUUCAAGCAUUUAAAGGCCCAAAAUAAAAUUAUCAUUCUGUAACACUUUUUUUUUCUUACAUUUAUUCAAGUUUGCAUUAACACUGUAUAUCCAACGAAACUGCAUUUUACUCCUUCAUUUUAGCCUUAAGUAGCAGCCACAGGAGAUUAAAUGCGGUUAAGGAUAAUGAAGCAUGAAGAUGACAAGAAAAAUUAACCAGAGGUGCCUUAUCUCCCAAUUCAUAGCAGUACAAAUUUUAUAUUCCUGACACAAAUGCCAGCUUGGGAUUGAAAUCGUACUAUGUGAAUCUGUUCUUUAAGCAGAACUGAGUGCAGAAGUGCAAUACAACAGAAGAACAGAUACAUUCUGCAGGUGGAGAGAAAAGCUGUGGGUUCAUGAAGCCCCAUUUGAUAGUAAAGCAGUUCACAGCACAGGCAUUUAUGUGGAGGAGAAGCUCCUGCAGCAAGCAAGCUCUGUACUGAUAGCAAGUAGUUCUCACACUGCAACAUCGUGGUUAGCUGUAUCAAGCAACAUAUAAAUCAUGAAGACAAAGUGCUGCUGAGCAGCAAGGCAGCUUUCCCUAGCCAGGUUGUGAGAAGAAGCCACAAUUACCAAAUCAGUGUCUUGGCACUGAAACUGCACAGCAUCUCAGUGGAGCAGGUUAGUGGGAUUAGGUCCCUUCCUCCAGAGGAAAGUUUGUGCUGCAGUUUGGCCUCACCCACCUUCGAACAGCUGAGUUUCUGUUGACUCGAAAGGAAAGCAAAAAGUUUGAGAAAUGCUGCUAAAAGGCCUCAUAUUGUCUGACAUCCUGUGACAAGAAAAAAUAAACUCCUUUGGCCACAAGCCAUAAUGACUCUGACCUGUGUGUAAGCUUUCAGUACUGCUGCGUCCUGCUUUUGGUUUCGCCCUGCUCAUUUGGGUUAUUCCGUGCAUUGCACAAAGAGUUUCAAAGACAGCUCCUGUAAGCCAGUUACUUGUAACUGCUCCUGGGAGCAGUUACAGCUGCCAGCACAGAAAUAAAAAUACUGGGCCCAAAAGUCAUCCUUGUUUUGUUGUCUGUCACUGCAGUUUCCAUGUGCAGAAACAGCUACAUGGGAGCUGCUGCCACCAACCAGGAGCAGCGCUCAGGAGAAGCACGUAUCCAUGUGGCUCAGUGACAGUGUUGCAAAAUACCGCAUUUGAUCUCUGGGUAAAAUGGAAAAGGCAGAAUAGUAUUUUUUUACACCACAACUAGAGACAAGUGCAGGUGGUGUGAUGUAUGAACACUUACAUUUUAAGCACUAAUACCAGCAUUUCUGGGCACGCUGCUCUGAAAAGUCUGGUGCUUUAGCAGAUAGCAACUCAUAGAUAGAUCCCUGUGCUUUCAGAAGUGCAAAUGCUUUCAAUAAGUGCCUUUCAGCUCAGCCUGCUAGAGCAUAGCACCCUAAGCAACUCUCAGUAGGCUCAUAUCUCUCCCCUCUUUGCUUCAGACAUACCCAAAUCCAUCUUCAUUCCAGGUGUGUGGAAAUGCCUGCACCUCUCCUUAGAGACA